GAUGAACGCUAGCGGCAGGCCUAAUACAUGCAAGUCGAACGAGAUUUACCCUUCGGGGUAAUGAAGUGGCGCACGGGUGCGUAACACGUAUGCAAUCUGCCCUUGUCUGGGGAAUAGCCCAGGGAAACUUGGAUUAAUACCCCAUAACAUUAUAGAUAGGCAUCUAUUUAUAAUCAAAGUUCCGACGGACAAGGAUGAGCAUGCGGGACAUUAGUUUGUUGGUGAGGUAACGGCUCACCAAGACUACGAUGUCUAGGGGUUCUGAGAGGAUUAUCCCCCACACUGGUACUGAGACACGGACCAGACUCCUACGGGAGGCAGCAGUAGGGAAUAUUGGUCAAUGGACGCAAGUCUGAACCAGCCAUGCCGCGUGCAGGAUGACAGCCCUAUGGGUCGUAAACUGCUUUUAUAUAGGAAGAAACCCCUUUACGUGUAAAGGGCUGACGGUACUAUAAGAAUAAGGAUCGGCUAACUCCG
rnacentral:rRNA from 1 species